rnacentral:rRNA from 1 species
GGAUUCCCCUAGUAACUGCGAGUGAAGCGGGAAAAGCUCAAAUUUGAAAUCUGGCAGUCUCUGACUGUCCGAGUUGUAAUCUAGAGAAGUGUUGCCAGUGCUGGACCGUGUACAAGUCUCCUGGAAUGGAGCAUCAUAGAGGGUGAGAAUCCCGUCUUUGACAUGGACUACCAGUGUGUUAUGGUAUGCUCUCAAAGAGUCGAGUUGUUUGGGAAUGCAGCUCAAAAUGGGUGGUAAAUGCCAUCUAAAGCUAAAUAUUGGCGAGAGACCGAUAGCGAACAAGUACCGUGAGGGAAAGAUGAAAAGAACUUUGGAAAGAGAGUUAAACAGUACGUGAAAUUGCUGAAAGGGAAACGCUUGAAGUCAGUCAUGUUGGCUAGAAAUCAGCCUUGCUUUUGCUUGGUGUAUUUUCUAGUCCUACGGGUCAGCAUCAAUUUUGAUCAUUGGAUAAAGUCUUUGGGAAUGUGGCAUCUUUUGGAUGUGUUAUAGCCCAUUGUCGCAUACAGUGAUUGGGAUUGAGGAACUCAGCAUGCCGCAAGGCCGGGUCUUUUGACCACGCUCGUGCUUAGGAUGCUGGCAUAAUGGCUUUAAUCGACCCGUCUUGAAACACGGACCAAGGAGUCUAACAUGCCUGCGAGUGUUUGGGUGGAAAACCCAUGCGCGUAAUGAAAGUGAAAGUUGAGAUCUCUUUGGAGAGCAUUGACGCCCAGACCAGACCUUUUGUGACGGAUCUGCGGUAGAGCAUGUAUGUUGGGACCCGAAAGAUGGUGAACUAUGCCUGAAUAGGGUGAAGCCAGAGGAAACUCUGGUGGAGGCUCGUAGCGAUUCUGACGUGCAAAUCGAUCGUCAAAUUUGGGUAUAGGGGCGAAAGACUAAUCGA